rnacentral:lncRNA from 1 species
AGGGACAUUCUCUAUGGACCAAGCAUUCAAAUAUAGUUAGUGAGCACCUUGCAGACACACAGGAUGUACUUCUCCAAGAUGGUGCAAUGGAGCAGAAACAGCUCAUGUCCCUAAUAAGAAGCCACGAGGGACCUCAUUGCUUAUUGAAGAGUCUUGCAGCAUACUUUGUUCGUUGGUCUUUUCUUAAUGGUUGGCUAUUUCUCCUCCAAUUCAAGCCACCCACUGAUCUAAGUCAUUCUUGAACACGAUUAUGAGUGUUUUCAUACAUAUGUGAUGCAUUGAGUAACUGAAUGGAUCCCAUCUGGGAGAUAUAUAAAGUGGACACUGAAGUGACUCAUCAGGCAGCUGCAGAGAAUACACAGAUGAGAAUGGCAGGGAACUCCACCAUGAAGAUGCUGAGCAUCAUCCACACCAUUUCCAGAAGAUGGAAAAAGCCACAUGACUGUGGAACACCACAAAAUUGAGGAAGAGUUUGAAGCUCACGGCUGCCAGAGUGAAACCUUGGGCUCUGGUAUUAGCUGCCUUGUACAUGGCUGAUUGGAACACAAAGGAAAAUAAUCUUGUAAGUUGUU